rnacentral:rRNA from 1 species
UACAGAGGGUGCGAGCGUUGUCCGGAAUCAUUGGGCGUAAAGGGCGCGUAGGUGGCCACUUCAAGCGUGCGGUGAAAGUCGGGGGCUCAACCCCUGAUCGGCCGUGCGAACUGGGGGGCUGGAGCACUGUAGAGGCAGGCGGAAUUCCGGGUGUAGCGGUGGAAUGCGUAGAGAUCCGGAAGAACACCGGUGGCGAAGGCGGCUGACUGGACACAUAUUGACGCUGAGGCUCGAAAGCAUGGGGAGCAAACAGG